GGCCUGGUGGUCUAGUAGUAUGAUUCCUUCUUAGGGUCGCGUGAUACAUGGAGGAGGUCCCGGGUUCAAUUCCCGGCCAGGCCC